rnacentral:rRNA from 1 species
AUGGUGGCGCUGGUGACGGCGGUGUGGAUGGAUGAUGGUGGAUGCGGGGAAGGAGAAGAAGAUGGUGGCGCUGGUGGAUGGAUGGGAGGCGAAGGCGCACCACCACGCCGGCCUGGCCGUGGCGGCGGGCGGAGUUGGAGAAGGAUGGGUGAGGGAGAGAGAGAUAUGCCAGGCCCGAUGGGGACUGGAGCCGAUCUAGGGAUUUUGAUCCCCUCCCUGCAGAUUUUGAUGUUUGCACAUGGGCCCUCCUACUAUCUUCUUCCUUCCCAAGUAGAUCCCCUCUCUUCUAUAGUUAUCCCCUUUGGUUACUUCUUGUCGUCACACACAAGCCCUUCUCUCUUCUCGUUAGCCACAUAG